CACGUAGGGGGCAAGCGUUGUCCGGAUUUAUUGGGCGUAAAGAGCUCGUAGGUGGUUCGGUAAGUCAGGUGUGAAACCUCCAGGCUCAACCUGGAGACGCCACUUGAUACUGCUGUGACUGGAGUCCGGUAGGGGAGCGUGGAAUUCCUGGUGUAGCGGUGAAAUGCGCAGAUAUCAGGAGGAACACCAGCGGCGAAGGCGGCGCUCUGGGCCGGUACUGACACUGAGGCGCGAAAGCGUGGGGAGCAAACAGG
rnacentral:rRNA from 1 species